rnacentral:lncRNA from 1 species
CUAUAGUGAGUUCUAGAGCACCGUCCCUUGAUGAAUAUUGCCCAGUAGCAAUGUCAACCCUUGCUGCUGUGCAUUAAUCAUGAGGAGAAUCACUAUUGGAGUAAUCUCAUGUAUCUGUAGCUAGUUCUGAAGGAUCUCCCCUUGAUGACCUUUGCAUUGUUGUGAUGUAAAAGUCCCUCACUGCUGUGCACUGGUCAUGAGGAGAACUACUGCAGAAUGAGAUACUAUAUUCCUGGUUCUUUUUUUACUUUUUGUUUCCGUAUUAAUAAACUUUAUAUCAUAUUCUUUUAAUAUUAAAUCGACCUCAUUGCACUCAAUGCCUCUUACCUUAAUUAUAUCCUACAU